UAACAAAGGGAAGCUAAGCCGCGAGGUGGAGCAAAACCCAAAAAAGCAGUCUCAGUUCGGAUUGAAGGCUGAAAUUCGCCUUCAUGAAGCCGGAAUUGCUAGUAAUGGCAGGUCAGCAUACUGCCGUGAAUACGUUCCCGGGCCUUGUACACACCGCCCGUCACACCAUGAGAGUUGGGAAUACCCGAAGCCUGUGAGCUAACUUUUAGAGGCAGCAGUCGAAGGUAGAAUCAAUGAUUGGGGUGAAGUCGUAACAAGGUACC
rnacentral:rRNA from 1 species